rnacentral:lncRNA from 1 species
GGGUAUGACAUAACACAAUUAUAAUAAUCAUUUUCAAUCCAUUACCAAGCCUAACAAUUCAGUUCAGAAAACACCACAGGACAGCAAUUUCACGACACAAUCUGAUAGCACUUCCUCUCCAUUUAUAAAGAAACUAACAAGAACAGAGAUGACAUAAAGGAGACUGAAUGGGUUGUGUUAUAACUGCGAUGAAUCAUUUGUUCCGGAUCACCAAUGUAAACAAUUGUUUUCCUCGAGAUUGAACGCGACGCUGGUUCUGAGCAACAAAAAAAUACCAACAAGGCAACUACAUCCACAAUUCAAGGUCGAGGACAAGCUUGAAAAUUAGGGUGGAGUAAUGUUAUGAAUGCAAAUAUAGAAGGCACAGCAAGAAUAGAAAAUUGACAUUUAAUUACAUAUAGAAUUCUAAUUAGUAU